rnacentral:lncRNA from 1 species
GAUUAUGUAUUGCAGGCAUAUGCAAAAAUAAGUUUGCAUAUCCUGAGCAUAUCCGACCUCACCUUUGUUGUGAAUAAAUCACAGACUGUCCUGGAUUCCAGAAGAGUUCCAACCAGUGAAGCUGGCAUUCCAGGAGAAUCCUCUGAUUCUUUUGGCAAAACUGAGUCAAGAACAUAUUGCCAGUUCUUCCUGGGCUCAACUAAAUGUGGAUUCCAUUCACAAUCACUUUUGCUUUGCAUGUUGUGUACGCUUAUGACCAUCAUGUUUAUCAGCAGUUCCAGAGGGCAGCUGCGAGGUUGCUUCCAAAUAUUGCAAUAUGAUUCCAUAAUGUUUUGUAGAAUUUGGAAUCCAUUAUUCUCAUAUUCAAGGACAGGUUUCAGAUUUCAGCAUUGAAAGAUGUCUUCCCAGUUCUUUCAUUGCUUUCAGGGUGCUCAGCUCACAUGGCCUGAGACAGGAAUUGUGCAGCCUCCACAGCCACCUAAACUAUAGACUUUCUAGAGGACUCUACAAAAGCCUGUUUCAUGUGCAGCAUGGUGGAAGAAUACAGUUAACUUUUUCAAUACUAGAACCAUAAAAAUCACUGAAACUAUAUUACCUUUUUGUUUAUCCUAAAAGAGACAAAUAUUCACCCUAUCUAGAAACACAGAACAUCUUCAAAUGCACCUCUGCGUUGUUGAAAAAGGCAUGUUUUGGGGAACUUUAAAGGUGUUGAAUAAUGAAGAAUUCUUUUAUUUAUUCCUUUGAUAAUUCUACUAAAAGUGCAUUUUUUAACAAGAAGACAGUUUCUUUGUUCUUUGUUCAUUAACAUUGCUGUAUUCAACAUAACUUUGAAUCAAAUUAUCCCUUUCACAAAACUGCUCACGUUGUUUCCUGUUCCUUGGCACGAUGAAGCCAUGCAUAUGUAUGACGCGUCACCAAGUGUCAUUUUAGGAAAGACCCUGUUAGUGUGCCUAUGGAGAGAAGCAGAGUUAGAGUAUUGUAGCCAUGGAAGCCACUUUACUUUGCAGCCUUUAGCUUCCUGGAGGGAAUCUGGUGAUGGGAAAGGAAUUCCAUUUUGCAUACUACAUUGUUAGCGUGCAAAUGCUCCACUUAUUUAUAUCAUUCAAUUCAAUCUGGACAUCUUACUUUAAAAAUGUAUAUCUCAGUCCCUCUUUGAAGAAAAAUAUGAUGAAAAUAUAUGAAUUAGAGCUCACAAUUUUACAUUAUUUGUAGAUCAUAAUAACGAUCUUGGCAUUUGUAUUUACCUUACAUAGAGAUGGGAAAACAUUUUGGAAGGUUUUUUGGAGCAAUAGGAGAGGGGAAUGAAAUAUCCCAUUAAAACAGGAAGGACAUUGCUGUCACCUAAUCAGACAGCCUCAGGACUACCAGCAGAUGGUGCAACAACCUAUUUAAUCCUCAGCAUUAUCAGAAAAUAACCAAGAAUGGCAUCUUUCUUUGCUAAUUAAUUCUGAAUACUCCUAAAAAAUUAUGACUUUAAUGAUAAUAGCAUUUAAAACGAUAACCAUAGAAUCUGUAAUAAUUUUUUAAUAAUUAUACAUAAUAUCUGACUUUUUGAACUAAAAGAGACUUUAGAACUCUCUGGUCCAAGCCUUCUGUUUAACAGCUGAGGAAACUCAAGUUCUUAAGUUUAAACUUCAACCACCAGCUAAGGAGGGUCGUGAUGAGUCUUGGUCAUAUGACAGAACCCAUCGCUCAUUGAUUCAGCAACAUUAUCCCUCAGCAAAUACGAUUUCUAGCCCAAUAAUCAAAAUUUGAUGGGGUGGCGGAUGGCAUUUGAUCAUCCAAGUUAAGAUUUUUCAGCAGAUGUUUAUCUGUGGAGACUCUUCUAUUGUAAGAACAUUCAUAGUUUUAGAAAAGAGGCAUUUUCUGGGAGAACAUGCUCUCCUGUCCUCUCUGUUUCCAGCUGCAAACUAACGUGUCAUUUUGCCAAAUGCUUCCUGUCUAGCUUCUGGCUAUUUCUGAGAGAGAGAGAGAAGGUGGGGGCAGGGGGAGAAAGAGAGAGAGAGAGAGAGAUUUUUUUUUACACAUUUGCUUUGUACUAGGAAAAUAUUUCUUAUACAGUCAACAAUAGCAUAUUAAUGGGGAUGAUUUAAGGAGCCCAAGCUUCUAUUCUGUUGCCAGAAUGCCAACGGGAAUGUAUGCUACUUUUCAAAAAAUAGGUGUUGACAAUAGCCUGCAGUAUUGCACUGUAGUCAAAGAAGAGUGCUGAAAGCUUCAGUUCAUAAAAAUGCUUGAUUCAUCAAAAAUAAUCACCUCACCUGAUAAUUGAAAGCUACAGAGAAUUAUUAUGCAGCCGUGGACUCUCAAAAAUUUAUUCAUUUUUGGUAAUUAACAUUAUUUCUUCUUGAUGAUGUUGCUAAAUGGCUUGAACCCAGUCUGAAGAACCAUGCAUGAUCAUUUAUGCUGAAAAGAAAAGAAAUUAGAAGCUUUUGUUGCACAGAAUGGUGGAUAAAGAUUGCGAAUUUGCACAGCUAUAAAGCUUACUAAUUAAAGACUACAAACACAAAGAGAGCAAGCCUUGUGAUGACUGCACAAUAACGAGGAUUCAGAUACAACGUGGUCGCCACCUGACGCCCACCUCCACAAAAAGCCAUUCUCAAAAGGAGAGAGACAUUCAUAUCCAGAAGAGGGAGUCGGCUGUAGGGUAGAGCACUUCAAAUGCAUCAAAGGUCCAGAGAGAAGCUUCUUCUGGUCACCUUGAUCUUGUGAUGCAAGGCAGGUGGGAGCAAGGGCUCCACCUCUGCAGACACAGAGAUGACGGGGUCGCCAUGCCGGCGUUUUAGUCCCGGUUUCCUCUGCUCGAGUAGUUGGUGGCCUCCUGCCUGUUCCCUAACAUAACUUCACUUUCCUUACCUGCAAAACGAAAUUAGUAUUUCCUCCCUCACAAGGUGCUUGAUGCCCUUCCCCUUGCGUUUACUUUGCCUGAGAGACUAUAUCAUAUCUAUGAUUUUGUGAAUGGGGCAAAAGGAAUUGAGAGUGUCAGGGUAUACCUUAUAAAUAAGCCACUAAAGGUUACAUCCUCAUUCCACAAACUGACCUAAACAAUUUGGCUGUCACUAAUAGAUUAUUUUGGUCAGUUAUGGCAUUUAGAGGGAGAAGAGAGAGUAUAUAUAUAUGGGUGGGGUGUGUGUGUAUGCGUGUGUAUGUGUGUGUUUACAGUCAAAAUACCAAAAUAUAUCUAUGUAUAUAAAUAUAUUUGCUUUCUUUGUUUUUGUUACAAUAAACUUGUACAUACAAUUCUGACACACAUAUUUUCAUAUGUAGGCACAAAAAUAGUCAUACAAAAAAUACCACAAAAGGUAAUAACAAAGUGGAAGAAGACAUAGGAACAGAGAACAAACCAACACAUAGAAAAAGUAACAAACAUGGUAGAUACGAAUCCAGCUAUAUCAAUAAUCGCGUUAAACAUCAAUGGUCUUAAAUAUACUAGACAGUGGAAUAUUAUUCAGCAUUGAAAAGAAAUGACCUAUCAAGCCAUGAAAGACAAGGAGGAACCUUAAAUGCAUGUUACUGAGUGAAAGAAGCCAAUCUGAAAAGGCUGCAUCCUGCAGGAUUCUGACUCUAUGACAUUCUGGAAAAGAACACCAGGAGGACAGCACCAAGAGGGAGCCCUAGUGUGAACUGUGGACUCUGGUUGGUAAUGAUGUGCCUGUGAAGCUUCAUUGUUUGCAGCAAAUGCAUCAGUGUGGUGGGGGAUGUUUCUAAAUUGAUAAUGAAGGACGCCAUAGGUGUAUGGGGGCAGAGAGUUUAUGAGAAAUCUGUACCUUUUGCUCAAUUUUACUGAACAUAAAACUGCUGAAGCCAUCAUUCUCAGCAAACUAACCCAGGAGCAGAAAACCAAACGCCGCAUGUUCUCACUCAUAAGUGGGAGUUGAACAAUGAGAACACAUGGACACAGGGAGGGGAACAUCGUCACACACCGGAGCCUGUCGCAGGGUGGGGAGCUGGGGGAGGGAGAGCAUUAAGACAAAUACCUAAUGCAUGUGGGGCUUAAAACCUAGAUGAUAGGUUGAUAGGUGCAGCAAACCACCAUGGCACAUGUAUACCUAUGUAACAAACCUGCACAUUCUGCACAUGUAUCCCAGAACUUAAAGUAAAAUAUAUUAAAAAAAUUAAAGUCUAUUUUAAAAAAAGAAAAACAAUCAGCUAACCUACUUUGGUAGCUCUGUUCUGCGCUGUCGGGUCUUCCAUCCUAGCGUGUGACACAGGAGGGUUUCGCUGGCAGGACCCGCCCACUGCACAUGCAGGUUCAGGUGACAGAGACCUCUGGAAAGAUGAGGCCCGUGGGAGCAGGGGGCUUCUUGUUGACACUGAAGGUCAGGCUUCAGGAAUGCCAGGGGCUCAUAAAAUCUUUUUCACUGAACAUUAUGCUGAGCAGGAUUCAUUUUACCAGUGAAAAAAUAUUUCUGACAUCCUUUGUGCUUUUUAACAAAGCCUGUGGUGUGGAUUUGCAUGAUUCUUAGAUUGCUGAGUAACCACUUCGGGAGGGUUCUUGAUUAGGGCACUAAAAAUGUUAACACAACACCCGUGGGAUGUAGAUUAAGGUCAACUUGUCCUUGUGCGUCUCUCCUAGUGUUGAUGGCAGAGUCUUAGUAUUUCAGCUGACGAAAUCUCUGCCCAUUCUCUUCCAAUGUUCCCUAAUAAGCUACAGGAGGACAGAGACAAAAGUUUGACUUCAUUAGUAACUUUUGGAAGUUGCCCAAUUUAGGAAAAAGAGUUAAUAAAUCAGGAAUUUUAUAAGAACUUUUUGUUAAAUCUGUAGUUAUUCAAAUCAGCCUCAGCAUGAUAAGACAACACUACAGGUUAUUAUAAAUAGUUGAAAAAGAAAAAUUAAAUUCCAACCAAACAAUUGAUCCUUAACUUUUUUUUUUUUUGAGA